UACGAAGGGGGCUAGCGUUGCUCGGAAUCACUGGGCGUAAAGGGUGCGUAGGCGGGUCUUUAAGUCAGGGGUGAAAUCCUGGAGCUCAACUCCAGAACUGCCUUUGAUACUGAGGAUCCUGAGUUCGGGAGAGGUGAGUGGAACUGCGAGUGUAGAGGUGAAAUUCGUAGAUAUUCGCAAGAACACCAGUGGCGAAGGCGGCUCACUGGCCCGAUACUGACGCUGAGGCACGAAAGCGUGGGGAGCAAACAGG
rnacentral:rRNA from 1 species